rnacentral:rRNA from 1 species
GAUCCUACGGGGGGCAGCAGUGAGGAAUAUUGGUCAAUGGGCGGUAGCCUGAACCAGCCAAGUAGCGUGAAGGAUGAAGGUUCUAUGGAUUGUAAACUUCUUUUAUAAAGGAAUAAAGUGAGGCACGUGUGCCUUUUUGUAUGUACCAUAUGAAUAAGGAUCGGCUAACUCCGUGCCAGCAGCCGCGGUAAUACGGAGGAUCCGAGCGUUAUCCGGAUUUAUUGAGUUUAAAGGGAGCGUAGGUGGAUUGUUAAGUCAGUUGUGAAAGUUUGCGGCUCAACCGUAAAAUUGCAGUUGAAACUGGC